GAUGAACGCUGGCGGCGUGCCUAAUACAUGCAAGUCGAGCGAACAGACGAGGAGCUUGCUCCUCUGACGUUAGCGGCGGACGGGUGAGUAACACGUGGAUAACCUACCUAUAAGACUGGGAUAACUUCGGGAAACCGGAGCUAAUACCGGAUAAUAUAUUGAACCGCAUGGUUCAAUAGUGAAAGACGGUUUUGCUGUCACUUAUAGAUGGAUCCGCGCCGCAUUAGCUAGUUGGUAAGGUAACGGCUUACCAAGGCAACGAUGCGUAGCCGACCUGAGAGGGUGACCGACCACACUGGAACUGAGACACGGUCCAGACUCCUACGGGAGGCAGCAGUAGGGAAUCUUCCGCAAUGGGCGAAAGCCUGACGGAGCAACGCCGCGUGAGUGAUGAAGGUCUUCGGAUCGUAAAACUCUGUUAUUAGGGAAGAACAAAUGUGUAAGUAACUAUGCACGUCUUGACGGUACCUAAUCAGAAAGCCACGGCUAACUACGUG
rnacentral:rRNA from 1 species